AUUGUGGCGCCAAACCACAUUUGGACCAAAGAGGCAGCCAACCUCCUGACCUUCCUCGGCGUCGACCACUUGACGUUGGAUGGGAAUGGCGGGAUCGACGGCCAAGGCGCCAUCUGGUGGGAUUGCUACAACCGGAAGAAAUGCCACGCCCGGCCUAUUGUAAGUAGACA